CUUGCUUCUCCGUUGUACGAAAGUUUAUGACCGUUGUUUAGGGUCAAGUUUAUGACCGUUGUAUAGGCCUAAACGCGCUGCCCCAAUUUCUUCCUUCGUGAUCUCCUCUCCCGAUAUCCGAUCUCCGAGAUCCUCAUGCGACCUUUCACUAAGCUUCUCUCCCCUCUCCCCUUCCCCGGUUACCCCCGAUCUGUCGGCAGGCCUCUCCCCUCUCCCCUUACCCCCGAUCUGUCGGCGGGCAGCCGAGGCGCGAUGCCGUUCCCGCGAUUGGGUCACGCCUAGGCCGCGGCCUCGCAGCGAGGUCGCGGAGGCCGGGCGCGACCUCAGCCGCGUGAUAUUUCAAGUUGCGUUCCUCUGAGUCAGGGUUUCAAGAAUUUCAGCAAGACAGCUAGAGACCUUUUGCUCAAAAUGCAGAAAAUCGAUGGAGAUUACUAUCUGAGACUUUACACGAGAUGUUCAUUGUCAAUGCUGGCACUGGCUUUAGGCUCCUUUGGAACACCGUUAAAGGUUUUCUUGAGCCAAAAACAACUGCAAAGAUACAUCAACUUCCAGAUUCCUUGGGUUGGUUGUGCACUUGCUCCAAUGAAGACGGAUGUUUGAAAUCUAACAAAGGGCCAUGGAAAUGGAAUAAUCCCAACAUUAUGGAGCAAUCACUACUUUAUCCUUGAAGCGGCAUUGCUAAGGCAUACUAGCCAAAUGUCAGAAGGAGGUGAAGCCUUUGUAGAGUCAUAUCUUUUGAAGGCAAGCUUUAUAUCUAGCCUUUAUUUUGUU